CAUAAUCCAAAAUAUAUAUUCUGAGGUUAUAAACAUGCCAUGUCAAAAGAUAUACAAUACGGAUCCCCAACAUACAACGUAAUAGACCAUAAGCUCAAAAUAGCAACCCACAAAAUAACCCUACAGAUCAUCAUCCAUGUACAUCUAAUUCUGGAAUCUUGUAAGAGCUUCACAACUAGUCGUGCUCUUUAUGUAGUUCCAUGCUUACCUAUAAUGCAAGAACUACAUAAGCCAAUGCUUAGUAAGUAAAAAUCAUACAUGUCAUGAAUAUGAAUAAUAACAAUAUAUAUCACUAUUUCAUUUGCUUUAAACAUCACGAUAAAGAUGCAUUAUAUUCUAAUAUUCAUCAAAGUCGACUCGAAAUCAUUUCAUUUGAAAUCUUUCAUUUCAUUGGACCUGUGACCCACCUACUAUACACCAUAUAGAGCUCUACAUAAUAUCAAUAUCAAUAAUCAAAUGAUCAAUAAAAAAUUGACACCGGCAUGUGGACCAUCCUCUCGUGACCACUAGAGCCCCAUCUCCUAACUACCUCUAUGAUCACCCACGAAGUAUCCCACCGACAACGCCAAUAAUCAUAGUAUCACAAGGGCGUAGUUGAGUGGUCCAAUCUCCCGUGAUCACCAAAGGCCCAUCCACUGUCUACCUUUGCAAUCAUCUAGGAAGUAUUACCCUCGAUGCCAAAACAUAUCACAUAAGCAUGCCUCACAUAACUCGGUACUCUAGUAGUCGUCAAUAAAACAUUUAUAAGGAAAAAUCAAUUUGAAAUCAUAUUUUACAUGCAGGCUUUUCAACCAUAAUUACAUGUCAUGCAUGGAGAUUAAAAUGCUCAUGAAUGACAUAUUUAAUGAAAAUCAAUAUCAAUAGGUUCCCCAACCUCAUACUCAACGAUCAUAACCAUCAUAUGAUGUGCAAUAAAUCUCUUACCAAAGUUUCAUAACUAUUCCAAUAUUACCAUAUCACAAAUACUAGGCUCUUGCAUCAUAGUUGCAAAUGGAUUUUUAUUUACCUUUCGCCUUUGUGUGUGCAAGUUCCUACAGAGUGUAUAUCAAUUUUCCUUUUUGUUCAACGUCGAAAAAUCACCUGUAAUACCAUCUAAUAUUAAAGACAAUCCUCUAUUUAAUAACAUUAGCACACACAAUCCCAAAAUACGACCAUCCACACCAAAACAAUUUAGACGAAAUCAUUAUUUCAAGUUGCCAAUGGCAUUACAAACUAUCCCUUAAGUCUCGCUAUUUCUUGAGUCCAAUUAUGAACAUCAACCUCAUCCAAUUGUUGUCGACAAUCUAGUACUCAUUAGAAUCUAUUCUCUAGGGCCAAGAGAUAAUUAGUGGAUAUGUAAAGGUUGAAAUCACCUUAAAAACACAAAUGGGCAGAAUCUGUUUUCAGAUUUCUAUUACCGUCCAAUUAUUUUUCUAAUCCUUUUUCACCCCCUUAACUAUAUCCAAAGACUCCCAAAUUUUUACCAUACUUCUAUAUUAUGUAUGUGAAGGCAAUUGUGAUCUAAAUUUGUGACAAAUGAAGUGCUUUCAGCCUCAAAAGCUGUCUAUUUUUCACCACACCAAUUCAGGCAGUCUUGUUUUCCUGUGACUAUUUUCGGUUUUCAUUUUACUAGCAUGUCACCAAUAAAAUUCCAGGCUAUUAGAAGACCAUUUCUAUUCUAAUAACUCUCAUAUAAAAAUUUUCAUUUACAUAGAUACACGUUAUAUCUUAAGUAUUAUCCAAAAUCAAAGUUUAAACCACUUAAAUCUAGCAAAUCCUCAUUUCUGUCCAGAUUACUUUCUUUCAAAUUCUUGUAAUUAAUUACCUCUAUUUUGGCAUUAUAAAAUCAUUAACAAAACUCCAACCUAAUAACAAUCAAGUUCCGAUGUUCAAGAAAAUAUAAACCCCUUUAGAAAUAAUGGAUACAAACCUCAAAACCAUGAAGUAACAAAGCUGUCCAGAAAUUCCAGCUUCUUCUUUCUAUUUCUCUUUGACUCUUUCACCCUCCUUUUUCAUUUGGAAUCA
rnacentral:lncRNA from 1 species